UUUAGAGAUAGACUUUUCUUCGGACUGCUUACAAGGUGCUGCAUGGUUGUCGUCAGCUCGUGCCGUGAGGUGUCAGGUUAAGUCCUAUAACGAGCGCAACCCCUGUUGUUAGUUGCCAGCAUGUAAAGAUGGGAACUCUAGCAAGACUGCCGGUGCAAACCGUGAGGAAGGUGGGGAUGACGUCAAAUCAUCACGGCCCUUACGUCCUGGGCUACACACGUGCUACAAUGGCCGGUACAGAGGGCAGCCACACCGUGAGGUGGAGCGAAUCCUUAAAACCG
rnacentral:rRNA from 1 species